AUUGAACGCUGGCGGCAGGCCUAACACAUGCAAGUCGAACGAGUGGCGGACGGGUGAGUAAUGUCUGGGAAACUGCCCGAUGGAGGGGGAUAACUACUGGAAACGGUAGCUAAUACCGCAUACCAUCGGAUGUGCCCAGAUGGGAUUAGCUUGUAGGUGAGGUAACGGCUAACCUAGGCGACGAUCCCUAGCUGGUCUGAGAGGAUGACCAGUAACAUGGGAACUGAGACACGGUCCGGAGGCCUAGGGGAGGGAGCAGGGGGGAAUAUUGCACAAUGGGCGCAAGCCUGAUGCAGCCAUGCGGCGUGUAUGAGGGAGGCGUUCGGUUUGUAAAGUACUUUCAGCGGUGAGGCGUUACCAGCAGAAGAAGCACCGGCUAACUCCGUGCCAGCAGCCGCGGUAAUAC
rnacentral:rRNA from 1 species